AUGGCGGUCAGUAAGAGAGGGUUUUAAAAGAUACUGUACGAAAGAGGAACAGGCGUCAAAAAGUAGUUCUGGUGCCUCCAAACUCACAGUGUACAUGCACGAAAAUAGUCUCCAAUUUCUUCGAAAAUGCUUCAAACUUUGAAAGUGGAAAGUGUCUCCAAGUGCAGUCACAAAAACCAUCAAGAGCUACAAAGAUACUGGCUGACAUGCGGAGUGCCCCAGGAAAGGAAGACCAAGAGUCACGUCUGCUGCGGAGGAUAAAGAGACAAUGACCCCAAACACCUCCAGGCUGUGUAAGGACUAUGUGACCAAGAAGGAGAGUGAUGGGUGCUGCGCCAGAUGACCUGGCCUCCACAGUCACCGGACCUGAACCCAAUCCAGAUGGUUUGGGGUGAGCUGGACCGCAGAGUGAAGGCAAAAAGGGCCAACAAGUGCUAAGCAUCAUGGGAACUCCUUCCAGACUGUUGGAAGACCAUUUCAGGUGACUACCUCUUGAAGCUCAUCAGGAGAAUCCAAGAGUCUGCAAAGCAGGAAUCAAAGCAAAAGGAAGAACCUGGAAUAUGACAGAUUCUCACACUUAUUGUUAUGUAUAUAAUUCCACAUGU